rnacentral:lncRNA from 1 species
AGCAGGUUCUGACAACACUGUCCAGACGGUCCAGACAAACUUAAGGUGAAAUGUUGUCGACAAAAUUAACAGAAUUUACUGAACAUAAGAAACAAAUUCUCUAGAUUAGUUGAUACGAAGCAAUAUUUAUCAACUCGAAUAUUGAUUGUUAUGGUUUUUAAAACUCGUGAAAAAUUAAAUUAAUUAGAGAAAUAAUCUAACCUCGAAAUUUUAUAGUGAACUUAUCAAGAAAACUUUUCAUAUUGAAGGAACAGUUGGAUUCAGGAUUGGGACCCAAUCUUUCUCUUCACCGGAAGAGUGAUUUAGCCAGGAACGGAACCAAUUGAUUUCUUCGAUGUUUGUGAACAGGAACGGAUUUUCCAAAUACGGGACUAAAUUAGUUUCUUCGAUAGGAACAGGAUCGAUUGUUUUCUUCAGUGAUUAUACACCUCUCCUUAGAAGUCCCCGUGGAGAAUAUGUGGAUAUCUUUUUUUUUUCUUACUUUUGUGACUUGAUUCCCAGUGGAAAAUCUGUCAAGACGUGCUCAAAAGUACUCAAAACGUACUCAAAAGCGGUCGACCGGCGAAAAUAUAAGUAGAUCUCGGGUCCAUUUGGCAAAGAGAGAAACGUUGACGGAGGCGGCAAAAACGAAAGCUAAAGCAAAAGAGGGCUCCCCGUAAUCGGAGACUUGGGGGCUUGCUUCCGGAGAGCGUUCGGGGAGAUGGGGUGGUUCAAGGCGACGGCAGCGGCCUGAAGGUGAAUAAUGCAAGCGGUCGCAUCGGUAUUCGGACGGAGGAGAAGAAGAACCGGCUGGAGGCCAUGCAUAUUGCAUGCCAUCUUUCGGCUUUCGCUCACUCGUCGAGUUAAACUUCUUAAUAGGCGCUUCAUCGCCUCUUUAACUUUCGAAUAGAACCAAUCUAAACCUUUAAACAUCUAUUUUUCUUUUUUCUUUCUUAAUUUUCUUUUUUGUUGCGGUUUCAUCGACAUCAUAGUGUUCAUCUAGAUACACAAAUAUUAAAAAAAUUACAAUAAUAUAUUAUUUAAGUAGAAUACCAUCGUGUUUUAGUAAAUAUAUUUACCCUCUUAUGGGUAAUUUCAAUUCUCCUACUGUGUGGCCAUAACGCGUCUCCAUUGUGUUGGUGCACACGUUCGGGAUGGGUAGGGGAGCGGGGAAAAAGAAUUCUUCCGAGGGCGGUAGUAAAGAAAGAUGGUUUACGAGUGGCGCGGACCGAGGCGUAAUGUUCUCCUUUAAUAAGCGAAACCGGCUCGAGUAAUAACUUAAGCGGGCGCGUGGCCCCUUUACGGCCGACUUCUUCGCGCCUCAGACUCCACCAACACCGUCGACGUCAGUGAACAAUGCCCUGCUUUUAAUGCCCAUAACUUUACGAAUGGAUAAGGGCCGUGCCCCAACCGAAUUGCCCCAUAAAAUACUAUGCUUUUUCUUUUUCCUCUAUCCAUUCUAUUUUUCUUUUGCAUCCCUUCAGAAUCAUUACAUUCAACCUGUUGUUAUAUUCUAAUAAUCCAUGUAGGUUAAGAUUAAAUAAGUGCUUAAGUAAAGGUAAUAGUCACGUGAAUCACGUAAAGUCCUAUUAGCGUCGUUUUGUGGUAAAUAACGACGUUAUUAAGGAAAGAAUCGGUAGAAUCAAUCUUGUUAAUAAGAAGUAGAGCCCAGAAGAAACCAAUUUGUUAACUAAGACACCCUAAGAGACGUAUUUCUUUAUUAAAACGUUCAAGUGUAACUCGACCGAAAGUGUUGGUUUGGGUAUCUCGAGGGUGUUUUGUACGAAAUUUAAACGCGUCCACAGAUAAAUUUUAAAUUUCCGCGGACGUGCCUUUUGCAGAUGGCGAUCUGCGGGGCACCACAUCAAAAAUUUAAGCGCUCGGAGGCGUCCCGAGCCUCCCGAUUGCCCUGAUAUACGACUUUUCGAUAUGAGUUAUGGGCCUCAGGCGGCCGAAGGCGACGACUUGCCAAAGAUCGACAUCAAAUAUGCAACUUGAACCAUGUAUGUAUGUAUGUACGGACGAAUUUCGAAUAGGAAGAUCUCUAACCAGCAAUCCCAAAAGAUGUCUCAAAACCAUUUCAAAUUCGGAUUCAAAAUGUAUUUUCUUUGUUAAUUAAUUAACGAAUAUCUUCGAUCGGUUUAUAAAUCUAGGUUGACAUGCACUUUAGUGAAGAUGUUAAGAUUUCGAGUGUAGAAGCUGUCGCAGUACAGUGACGGAUUCCUAAUCACUCUGUUUCGGUUGUCUAGGUGUCAGAUAUCCUAGCGGGUUACGUUUUGGCAUCGGGCGGCCCUACUCUUGAAUAAAAGAGUAGCCGGUUGCCGGGUGUUAAAAGCCGUUCCCGUCAAUUAUUAACCUUGGUUGCUUGACCCGCGAUGCCGCCCGAUUGAGCCACCCCCGAAGCCGCUCAAAUAUUUAAUUGGUGCGCCACUCAACCGGGCUCUGAUUUGCCCUGUCAAAAAGUCCUUCGAGGAAACAACCACUACCUUACCCACAUCGAAUUAGUUA